UACAGAGGUCUCAAGCGUUUGUUCGGAUUCAUUGGGCGUAAAGGGUGUGUAGGUGGCGCCGUAAGUCGGGGUGUGAAAUUUCGGAGCUUAACUCCGAAACUGCAUUCGAUACUGCGGUGCUUGAGGACUGGAGAGGAGACUGGAAUUCAUGGUGUAGCAGUGAAAUGCGUAGAGAUCAUGAGGAAGACCAGUGGCGAAGGCGGCUCUCUGGGACGGUACUGACGCUGAGACGCGAAAGCGUGGGGAGCGAACAGG
rnacentral:rRNA from 1 species